GGGAUAACACCUGGAAACAGAUGCUAAUACCGGAUAACAACACUAGACGCAUGUCUAGAGUUUGAAAGAUGGUUCUGCUAUCACUCUUGGAUGGACCUGCGGUGCAUUAGCUAGUUGGUAAGGUAACGGCUUACCAAGGCAAUGAUGCAUAGCCGAGUUGAGAGACUGAUCGGCCACAUUGGGACUGAGACACGGCCCAAACUCCUACGGGAGGCAGCAGUAGGGAAUCUUCCACAAUGGACGAAAGUCUGAUGGAGCAACGCCGCGUGAGUGAAGAAGGGUUUCGGCUCGUAAAGCUCUGUUGGUAGUGAAGAAAGAUAGAGGUAGUAACUGGCCUUUAUUUGACGGUAAUUACUUAGAAAGUCACGGCUAACUACGUGCCAGCAGCCGCGGUAAUACGUAGGUGGCAAGCGUUGUCCGGAUUUAUUGGGCGUAAAGCGAGUGCAGGCGGUUCAAUAAGUCUGAUGUGAAAGCCUUCGGCUCAACCGGAGAAUUGCAUCAGAAACUGUUGAACUUGAGUGCAGAAGAGGAGAGUGGAACUCCAUGUGUAGCGGUGGAAUGCGUAGAUAUAUGGAAGAACACCAGUGGCGAAGGCGGCUCUCUGGUCUGCAACUGACGCUGAGGCUCGAAAGCAUGGGUAGCGAACAGGAUUAGAUACCCUGGUAGUCCAUGCCGUAAACGAUGAGUACUAAGUGUUGG
rnacentral:rRNA from 1 species